GCCAUGGUGGCACAGUGGUUAAAGCCCUUGGCUGCCAAUCAAAAGGUCGGUGGUUCUAACCCACCCAGCUGCU
rnacentral:tRNA from 1 species